rnacentral:lncRNA from 1 species
AGGCUAGACUAUGCACACUAAUCAUCUAGCAUGCAAACAUCAACAACAAACCCACCAUGGUUCACUCACUAAUUCCUCACCAUGGGAAUUAGCUACAGCCCCAAAGGCUAGAAUAAGCAUGCUAAUCACCUAGCAAUGCAACAACAACAGCAACAAUUCAAGAAUAGACAUAAGCUCACACUCUAAGCCAUAAAACAGUCUAUUCACAAAUGCAUACAUAACUGAU